rnacentral:sRNA from 1 species
CCGAUUCAUAUGGACUUCGGUUACACCAUCAAAGAUUUGAGAAGCAAGAAGAAGCUUGGUUAG